UAAGUCAAUAGCUGGGGAUUCCUUCUCCCUUAAAGCCUAUUCUGAUUCAUUCCCUUUCCUUGAUUCGAGGAGGUUAUCUUCUAGUAUAAUAAGGGGACAGGUGCUAUCAUAUAGAAUAGAAGUCCGCCCCAGUCACUAAACCUAGCUCACCAAGCCUUAGGAGUGCCUGUGGAUCUUGGCAUCUAGGGCUUUAGCAGAUUUUGCUUUAAUAAGUGACAUCUCACUUGAUUCCCCCUCGGGAUGUCCUAAAUGCUAUAGGGUGCUUUGCUCGGGUUAGCCAAUAAAGCCUUAAGGCACGAUGCCAGUUCCUUCUUUUCCUAUUCAAGAUAAGAAAUGGCUAGUUCCCUUGCUAUCUAUGGAUGAUACGAUGCACAGUGCCACAUCUCCUUCUUCACUUCAGGAAGAGCUGAUUCUAAAAGCCCUUUUUCCUUA
rnacentral:lncRNA from 1 species